UACGGGGGGGGCAAGCGUUGUUCGGAAUUACUGGGCGUAAAGGGCGCGUAGGCGGCCUGCUAAGUCGGAUGUGAAAUCCCUCGGCUCAACCGAGGAACUGCAUCCGAUACUGGCGGGCUUGAGUCCGGGAGAGGGAUGUGGAAUUCCAGGUGUAGCGGUGAAAUGCGUAGAUAUCUGGAGGAACACCGGUGGCGAAGGCGGCAUCCUGGACCGGUAUUGACGCUGAGGCGCGAAAGCUAGGGGAGCAAACGGG
rnacentral:rRNA from 1 species